UAGGGAAUCUUCGGCAAUGGACGGAAGUCUGACCGAGCAACGCCGCGUGAGUGAAGAAGGUCUUCGGAUCGUAAAGCUCUGUUGUUAGAGAAGAACGAUGGUAGGAGUGGAAAAUCUACCAAGUGACGGUAACUAACCAGAAAGGGACGGCGAACUACGUGCCAGCAGCCGCGGUAAUACGUAGGUCCCGAGCGUCGUCCGGAUUUAUUGGGCGUAAAGCGAGCGCAGGCGGUUCUUUAAGUCUGAAGUUAAAGGCAGUGGCUUAACCAUUGUACGCUGUGCAAACUGGAGGACUUGAUUGCAGAAGGGGAGAGGGGAAUUCCAUGUGUAGCGGUGAAAUGCGUAGAUAUAUGGAGGAACACCGGUGGCGAAAGCGGCUCUCUGGUCUGUAACUGACGCUGAGGCUCGAAAGCGUGGGGAGCAAACAGG
rnacentral:rRNA from 1 species